rnacentral:rRNA from 1 species
UGUGAGAGCAAGAGCCCGGAGAUGGAUUCUGAGACACGAAUCCAGGCCCUACGGGGUGCAGCAGGCGCGAAAACUUUACAAUGCCGGCAACGGCGAUAAGGGGACCUCGAGUGCCAGGUUACAAAUCUGGCUGUCGUGAUGCCUAAAAAGCAUUGCAUAGCAAGGGCCGGGCAAGACCGGUGCCAGCCGCCGCGGUAACACCGGCGGCUCGAGUGGUAACCGUUAUUAUUGGGUCUAAAGGGUCUGUAGCCGGCCGGAUAAGUCUCUUGAGAAAUCUGGCAGCUUAACUGUCAGGCUUUCAGGAGAUACUGUCUGGCUCGAGGCCGGGAGAGGUGAGAGGUACUUCAGGGGUAGGGGUGAAAUCUUGUAAUCCUUGAAGGACCACCAGUGGCGAAGGCGUCUCACCAGAACGGACCUGACGGCAAGGGACGAAAGCUAGGGGCACGAACCGGAUUAGAUACCCGGGUAGUCCUAGCCGUAAACGAUACUCGCUAGGUGUCGGCCACGGUGCGACCGUUGUCGGUGCCGUAGGGAAGCCGUGAAGCGAGC